GACGAACGCUGGCGGCGUGCCUAAUACAUGCAAGUAGAACGCUGAAGGAGUAGCUUGCUUCUCUGGAUGAGUUGCGAACGGGGGAGGAACGCGUAUGUAACCUGCCUGGUAGCGGGGGAGAAGUAUUGGAAACGAUAGCUAAUACCGCAUAACAGUAGAUGUUGCAUGACAUGUGCUUAAAAGUUGCAAUUGCAUCACUACCAGAUGGCCCUGCGUUGUAUUAGCUAGUUGGGGGGGUAACGGCCCACCAAGGCGACGAUACAGAGCCGGCCUGAGAGGGGGAUCGGCCACCCUGGGACUGGGGCCCCGGCCAGACUCCUUCCGGAGGCCGCAGUAGGGAAUCUUCGGCAAUGGACGGAAGUCUGACCGCGGACCGCCGCGUGAGUGAAGAAGGUUUUCGGGUCGUAAAGCUCUGUUUUAAGGGAAGAAAGAGUGUGAGGGUAGAAAGUUCACGCUGUGACGGUACCUUAACAGAAAGCGACGGCUAACUACGUG
rnacentral:rRNA from 1 species